AUGAGGCUCUGUGACUGCCAUCUGCCCAUCACUGGUGGAGUUUUACUGCCUAGUAGCAGAACAGAUUGUUAGCGUCCCCUCGGCUGCUGAGCUCGUAUCCUGGUUGAAAUAGAUGGUGUUGGAAGUUGUGCAUGGGACUUGGAUGAGCAAGGCACUGAAAUUUACAACAAUUAUACAAAACAAGAGAAGAACACGCCUCAUUACUAUGUUUCUGCAGAACUGUAUGCCUCAGCAAAUGUGGAGCUUGAGAGAUGGAUGGAUUUUUCUUGAUCAUUAGAGUAGCAGUCCUUUGUAUCUGGCACUUACUCAAGGGCAGAGAAGCUUCUGAGGAUGGUACUACUUACAGAACAAUAAACACAAGGAGGGAAAUACUGCAGGUGACACUGGGACCCGCAGUUGUCACAGCUGGGAGGUCAGCACAGUUAAAUCAAUCACAUUCAAGAUGCCUGCAGAGAAAACAGUAGAGGUGAAAGCUUGUAAAUUCUGAUAAUCACCAACAUUUGAGGUGCAUACAUG
rnacentral:lncRNA from 1 species